rnacentral:rRNA from 1 species
UACGAAGGGGGCUAGCGUUGUUCGGAUUUACUGGGCGUAAAGCGCACGUAGGCGGAUUGUUAAGUUAGAGGUGAAAUCCCGAGGCUCAACCUCGGAACUGCCUUUCAUACUGGCUAUCUAGAGUCCGGAAGAGGUGAGUGGAACUCCUAGUGUAGAGGUGGAAUUCGUAGAUAUUAGGAAGAACACCAGUGGCGAAGGCGGCUCACUGGUCCGGUACUGACGCUGAGGUGCGAAAGCGUGGGGGGCAAACAGG